UACGAACCACACAAACGUUAUUCGGAAUUACUGGGCUUAAAGGGUGCGCAGGCGGCGUGGAAAGUUGGGUGUGAAAUCCCUCAGCUUAACUGAGGAACAGCGCCCAAAACUACCAUGCUCGAGGGAGAUAGAGGAAUGCGGAACUUAGGGUGGAGCGGUGAAAUGCGUUGAUAUCCUAGGGAACACCGGUGGCGAAAGCGGCAUUCUGGAUCUCUUCUGACGCUGAGGCACGAAAGCUAGGGUAGCAAACGGG
rnacentral:rRNA from 1 species